rnacentral:rRNA from 1 species
UACGUAGGGUGCAAGCGUUGUCCGGAAUUAUUGGGCGUAAAGAGCUUGUAGGCGGUUUGUCGCGUCUGCUGUGAAAUUUCGGGGCUCAACCCCGAACUUGCAGUGGGUACGGGCAGACUAGAGUGUGGUAGGGGAGAUCGGAAUUCCUGGUGUAGCGGUGAAAUGCGCAGAUAUCAGGAGGAACACCGGUGGCGAAGGCGGAUCUCUGGGCCAUUACUGACGCUGAGGAGCGAAAGCGUGGGGAGCGAACGGG